GCAGGUUUUCCAGAGGAUGGCCCAGCUAGAUCGGACGACAGCUAGAUCGGACGACAGCCAGAGGCAAGGGUAAAAAGCAGACAGUUUACAUGGAGUUUUUUUUGCCACUGUGUUGUUUCACAGUAGUCCACCCUCGCGCUGUAGGGUGGAUUGAACUCAAGACCUUGCACUUCCGAAGCAGCAAGUUCUCUGGCAAGAUAACACUAGCCUCAAUGGGUUCUGGGGAGAGGAGGAGGAGAAAGAGGAAUCAGAGCCACUCAGAAGAAUCUGAACUGAGCAGUGGUAGACCGAGCUGGAUACACUUUGUCUCUGCAAACACCCAUCACAGCUAAUGAGAUGGAAAUGCAAUGGGAAAUGAACCACACUUUUUAAAACCUUCUUUUCCAAUUUCAUUGACUAUGAAAAUUUGCAGGAAACCUUCAGAGAUGAGAAGGGAGAUGGUGAAAGCAAACCAGACCAGAAUACAAAAUAACUUCAUUCACAUCAGAAAUCACUGGCAGGAUUUUGCUGUUACACACAAUCUGUUAGUUGGUUGAAUGGAGGACAGCCUGGUCAGAGUGGGGUCAACUGUGCCAAAAGAAGACAACAGUCAUCAGUUCCCUUUUUCUCCGGG
ensembl:lncRNA